rnacentral:rRNA from 1 species
GACGGGGGGGGCAAGUGUUCUUCGGAAUUACUGGGCGUAAAGGGUUUGUAGGUGGUCUGCUAAGUCAGACGUGAAAUCCCUCAGCUUAACUGGGGAACUGCGUCUGAUACUGGCGGACUUGAGGACAGGAGAGGAACGCGGAAUUCCAGGUGUAGCGGUGAAAUGCGUAGAUAUCUGGAGGAAUACCGGUGGCGAAGGCGGCAUCCUGGACCGACAUUGACGCUGAUGAGCGAAAGCUAGGGGAGCAAACGGG